GGGGGAAAUAGGUGUUUCCCUUUCAAAGCAACAGUUAUUUAAUCUGGAUCAGACCAAGUAACAGCUUGAUCCGUAGAGAUGAGACUAAGCAGCAUUGAACAUACAUAUAAUUUUUGGGUAUUACUUUUUACCUGUUUUGAAGAUGUAUUGUAGAUCUUCCUUUUCUGAAUUAUAAAAUGUACUUUCCCCGAAACAUUCAAUUUUGUUUAAUUAGAUACUGACUGAUGGGAAGGAAUAUUGCGUAUCUCAUACAUUUUAAAGGUAUCAAACAAAGGAUAGCUUAUAACACAAUACUCUAAAUCAAACUUUGUCUAUUUGAUGGACUGCAUUACUAUGGCCACUUGCACUGCCAUGUUUCUGUCUAAUACAAGUCAUAUUCAUUGUAAUUUUAUUUUUUUUAUAACCAGGACUGGCCUGUUGAAAAACCUCAAAAGAACUAAGAAGUUCAACUCCAAACUAUAGUACAUCCUAAGAAGCAUAAGGCUUGUUUCUGGUGAUUUCCAAACAUACAGAUACAUGCGCUUAUAUGCAACUGAUGCACUAAAAAAAGAAAACUAAAACAAGCUACAACAGAGCCUAUAAUUCCCAACAAGCUGCUCUGUUUUCUGAUGGAAAUAAUCAGGGAUGGCAGCAUGUUCACUGAACACACAGUGAGGAGCAUGAGUGACACGAGUCCUUCGGUAACUACUCAGCCUGGAAGCUGUACUUGCCUUCUCAAACCUGGCAAGUCGAAAAACCCUGCCACUGGCAUCUCUACAGCCAUGCACUGACACAUUGGAAGAGAACUGUAUCAUCCCAAGUAGGGACAAAAUUAUUAGUAUAUAAGUGUAAUAAUAUAAAAAUUCUUGAUUCGGUCCUGUGCAGUGAUUCUCUCUGUGUGAAAGCUUGAACUUGCUCAUAUAUACACACAUGCAUGCAAGACUGUCCACUGGGCGUAUCUACCUAUCAGACUCAAUUGAGGGACUGUUUUAAAUGCUCACUCCCAGUACCUCUUUCUGGACCUAUUGAAUCUGGACAUAUGGGCGUAGGGCUCAUGAAUCUGUAUCUUAAAAAUAUUAUCCCUUGACAUUCUGAUAUGAUAAAUCCAGCCUGGUGUUAGGGAGCCACAGUCUUGUGCAAUUAACAUAUGAGCUUUGGUAAACUAAAUAGUCCAAUGUGAAUUAGAAUGGACCAGAGUGACAUGUGGAUCUAAGGUUAAACAAAGAAAAAGUGAAAGUGAAGUUAUUCAGUUGAGUCCGACUCUUUGGGACCACAUGGACUGCAGCCUACCAGGCUCCUCUGUCCAUGGGAUUUUCCAGGCAAGAAUACUGGAGUGGGUUGCCAUUUCCUUCACCAGGGGAUCUUCCCAACCCAGGGAUUGAACCCAGGUCUCCUGCAUUGUAGGCAGACACUUUACCGUCUGAGCCACCAGGGAAGAUGAGCCAUAAUCAGAACAAGAGAAGGGGAAAUAUGGCCAAGGGCCAAGAUAGGUAACAAAUCUAGUAUCUCUUAACUAUGGGGCAGUCACUGUUACACUAGCAAAAGGGAAUUGUGAGAAGGAAUUAGUACUUAACUCCAGAUUCAUACUGUAAACUGGAAGAUAAUUCAUGCACAAUAUACUAUUUCAAAUCCUCCUGUUAAUAUAUAUUUAAAAGCAUAUGUUUUGUGCAUUUUUCUCAACUAUGUUUUUUGUUUUUGGUUUGUUUUCUCUAAAACCCAUUGUCUCUAUAUCUUUUUCUGUUGUAUUGUUGCAGAAAUCUUUAUGAAAUGAG
rnacentral:lncRNA from 1 species